GCAACAAGAGAACUAAUGCAGUGAUUGGUAGAAUAAUCCUAUAGGCGGUCCUUAAUGCCUGUUGCUGAGGCCGGAAAAUUCUGGAAUUGUUCUUCUCGUCUUUCGCCAUUUUAAACUCGUCAGCCCAGCCAACUGAGGUCCGAACCCUUGUGCUGCGAGGACUGCCUGUCCUGCUCGGGGAUGAUGAGUCUGCUUUUUUUAAGUCAUGUUUGGUGUCGGAUCAUCGCAAUUCUAUCCUUGAUGUGCCAGUGGGGAUCUUAUUUGAGCACACCGAUCUUCAGCCCCCCAACUCCUUGCAUUUCAAUUCCCUUUUCAAUUCCCUUUACUGUUAAAAAUGUUUAGUUGUUUAUGUGCACAAAGUUGCAGCAGUGAUGUUGGGCAGCAGUUAAGGUGAUGUUAAUUCUGAUGGGGUUUUUUUUAUUUACACUGACAUUUUAUUCAUUUAUCUGUACAUUUUUGUAGA